UCUUCUGCCCUCAGAUGGACUACCGCUCACUCGUACAUGAGAAGGACGAGGCCAUCUACUCGGAUAUCAGAGUGAUCGUCCUCGACAUCCGCGGCUUCUACGCCGAGCUUUAUGACAUCAUCAGCAAAAACCUGGAGAAGGUGACCAACCCAAAAGGAGAGGAGAAGCCCUCGAUGUACUGAGGCUCCCGGGGAACGGGAAAAGCCACUGGGAUGAAUUUAAACAACCUUCAGCUGCAUUGAUCACCUGCUAAACUCAAUAUCAAUCAAGUAUCCGGCUCUUUGUUUGAUAAACAUUUAAAAUAAAUACAUAAACAACUGGAUGGUUUUUUUUAGUUCUGCUGUUUCAUGGUAACACUUUGGUUUUAUACCAAGAUUUGCACUAAAUUUUAAGUUGUGUGGUAAAGAAUGAAUAAAGAAAAGUGUUUUUCA